CAGCAGCCACGGGAAUACGGAGGGUGCAAGCGUUAAUCGGAAUUACUGGGCGUAAAGCGCACGCAGGCGGUCUGUCAAGUCAGAUGUGAAAUCCCCGGGCUUAACCUGGGAACUGCAUUUGAAACUGGCAGGCUAGAGUCUUGUAGAGGGGGGUAGAAUUCCAGGUGUAGCGGUGAAAUGCGUAGAGAUCUGGAGGAAUACCGGUGGCGAAGGCGGCCCCCUGGACAAAGACUGACGCUCAGGUGCGAAAGCGUGGGGAGCAAACAGGAUUAGAUACCCCGGUAGUCCCUGUCUCUUAUAC
rnacentral:rRNA from 1 species